rnacentral:ncRNA from 1 species
AUCGCCCUCCCUCUUUCAGGUGUCCGGGUUAGAUCAUUUAACCUGGCUUAAACAGGAAGUCGGUGCCGCGCUUUAUUUCAAAGCUGCCAAGCCGACGCUGCCCCCGCAACGGUAGAUAAGUAAAAGAUCUGCGUGAACGCCACUGUGCAUCCAGCAUGGGAAGGCCGCAUUUCAGGCCUAAAGCCACUUAUAAGCCCGGAGACUGGCCGGAAAGAUCAUCCAAGA